rnacentral:rRNA from 1 species
GUGGGGAAUCUUGCGCAAUGGGCGAAAGCCUGAUCCAGCCAUGCCGCGUGUGUGAAGAAGGUCUUCGGAUUGUAAAGCACUUUAAGUUGGGAGGAAGGGUAGUAACCUAAUACGUUGCUACUUUGACGUUACCGACAGAAUAAGCACCGGCUAACUUCGUGCCAGCAGCCGCGGUAAUACGAAGGGUGCAAGCGUUAAUCGGAAUUACUGGGCGUAAAGCGCGCGUAGGUGGUUCAGUAAGUUGGAAGUGAAAUCCCCGGGCUCAACCUGGGAACUGCUUUCAAAACUGCUGAGCUAGAGUACGGUAGAGGGUGGUGGAAUUUCCUGUGUAGCGGUGAAAUGCGUAGAUAUAGGAAGGAACACCAGUGGCGAAGGCGACCACCUGGACUGAUACUGACACUGAGGUGCGAAAGCGUGUGGAGCAAACAGGAUUAGAAACCCGUGUAGUCC